AGGUGGGGCAUGCUGAAAUGAUAGGUUGUGUACAUAAAUCAGUGGAUGUGCAUGGCUCUUGGUGACAGACACCCAUUUGCCCUACAGCCAAACUGUCUGCUUUGGCUUUGCUGAGCUGUAGUGGGAGCCAAACUGUCUACUACUGAAUCAGUGACCCAACAAGAGGGGCUGAAAUUAUUAAAUCAAGCCAAAUAAAAAUCAAACCCUGUGCAUUGCUGCAGUGGAAGAAGAAGAGAUGUCACAUGCCCGUUUCUGAGUAUUUCAGAGAUUUUUGUUGCCUGGGAAUGGAAUUCCAAUGACUGGAAAGGCAGAGGGAUGAUUGCCUUAAUGCAUUGCCCGUUAAUCCUGUUCAUCCUUUUGCCAAAGAGUUAAUGAAGCUGAGGCAGAAGGAAUUGUUAUUAAACAACCCAACUUAAAUCUACUAUUUAAGCUAAAAGUAAAGCAGAACAGGAAGGUCCCCAAAGUCAUAAAGGAUAAUAGUUUAAGCUAGAGAGGGAAAUCUAAGGCAGGUUGCUGUAAACCUUGAUUUUCAACCCUGUUACUGAUGCAGAUGGGCCUGUGGAUCUUUUGAAAUUUAUUACUUUUUCAUGCAAAUUUGAGCCAAGCAAAUUUGAAAUUGUGUAAUAUGAAAAUAGUAAUAAAGCCUCCCUUUAGGUAUGACAUUUAGGAUAAUAUAAAUUCCCCUUAUUUGUCAUGUUCCCAGCAGGAAAUAGAUGGCACACUUAAAUUGGAUGAAAGGACUGUUUACAAAGGUGUGGGCAGGGUGCAGGGAAACUGCCAGAAGUAGUACAAACACUGGCUCCAGACCCACAGGGACCAGGGGAGGGAGCAGUUAUUGAACCCUCAGCAGGCCAGCUGUAUGGGGAGGGCCACCUGAUGGAACCUGGGUCUUUAGUAGAGGGACACAGCUGGUCUGUGGUGGCCCAGCAGAGUAGGACUCCUAGAAAUUGAUACCCUAAUCUCUGUCCUCCGUCUCCCUGAUUUCUUGCAGGUGCUGUGCAUUGGCAGAAUCUGGCUGGAAGCCAGAGGGCAAGGAGACUUGUUGAUGUUGCAUAUAUAGAUCAAGUUCCUAUGGCGAGCAGGGUGAAGGAUCCGGAGGAUCCCCAAGCUAAACCAAAAACCGAGCCAAGAAUCAUAUAAUUUCAAACUAACAGUAGGGCAAAUUGUAAGGGAUGCUAUUGUUCCAUGGCAAUGCCCUUUCAGCUGGUAAACAGCACUCACACCCCGACUUCCCCCAAGCUAUCUAUCCAUGGUCAGGAUUGCACUUGAAUUGUAUCGAUUUUGAAUUACGAGAAGGUUUGAGGAAACAUGCUUUCCAUUGAAUUCAACCUCCCCAAUUCACCUUCUCCCAAAUACCAUGUUGGUUUGGGGUCUUCCUAUAGGAGAUUUUAAGCUGCAAAUUAAUUACCAGGCUACAGAAAGAAUUCUGGCUCACCUUUACGCAGCUUCUGUGUUCUUGAAAUGCCAGAAAAUUAAGAUUUUUCUAAAUACAAUUCUAUUUUUAUUUUGAGGCAUGGGAUGUUUUAGGUGCAAUGCAGCCCUUCUUUCCUCUUACCCUAGAACUGAUUGGUACUCCAAGAAAUUAAUUUUAAAUGGAAUUAACAGUGAUGCUUUCCUUGUCACAAUGGAUUGCAGAAGUUCUGGCUGCUAGACGAUCCCUCUGGAUGCGGAAAACUUGGAAUCUCGACCAAACCAAGUGCGUGUUCAGCUGAGACGUCCCAGGAGCCUGGGAACUCACUAAGCUUCCCAAACGCCGGGUGAUCCCAGGCAGGGAGCCUGGAGUUCUCACCAGUGCAGGGCUGAACUUCUUCACCUUGCUCACCACGAGGACAUUCAUGACUCAAACAGCGAGGAGGUGACCAAACUGACACAUCCGAGGCAGCCAGACAUCCAGCAGUCAAGCUUCCCAGCCCUGCUCAGCCUCUCUGCUUUGAGGUCAAUUAUUAUAAACUAUCAUUUUUGUAGGAGGCUCUUAGUUAAAUGGUUGUAUAAACCAUGGCUCUGUUUCUCAGCAGUUAUAAUUCAGAGCCUCUGGUACAACAGUAAUCCCUGGUUUAAUCUUUACUCUCUCUCUCUUUCCAUUUCUUUUUUUCUCUCUUCUUCAACUGCUUCUCCACCUCACUCCUAACUCAACAGUUUCCAGCUGUGUAUCGCUUGGCUCUGCUUCCACCCCAGAUUUUUCUAUAACAUUCCGUUGAACUCCUUCCAGGUCCCAGAUGUGCUAUUUAUUUAUGCUGAAGCAUCUGGGCCUCAACACAGCCCUGUCACUGCAACAUGGAAAACCUGCAAAAAAUUCAACUGGCAGCUAGCUGGCAGGCUGCACCACCCUGACAAACCAGGGAGGCAUUUCAAAGGUGUAUGGGUGAGGUCAAAGUGAGGGGCGUGAGGGGUGAUGGCAACCCAGGCGAAGCCAGAAGCUCACACUCUCCCAUGCUGUGGCUUUUAGAUGAGUCUAGUAACACUGGAAGAUGAGGGUCUGAUUUAUUUCAAAGCAGGAUAGUACCCAAAUAACUCAUUCUCCUCUGUAACUGACCUGGAAGCAAGGUUACCCAAUGGGGUUGUCAUCCCAAAGUGAUGGGGCUCUGAGCACCAAGGAAGACAGUCCAGAACUUGGGAUUGUGGGGGCCACUGGGGAGGGACGCUGGACUGGGAGCCAGAGUCCUGGUUCUGGUUCAAAUUUUCUCCUGCCCCCCCACUUUUUGAAAAAAUAUUUAUUUAUUUAUGGGAGAGCACAAGUGGGGGAGGAG